rnacentral:rRNA from 1 species
UACGGAGGGUGCGAGCGUUGUCCGGAAUCAUUGGGCGUAAAGGGCGCGUAGGUGGCGGGACAAGCGUGCGGUGAAAGCUCGGGGCUCAACCCCGAGUCGGCCGUGCGAACUGUUUUGCUGGAGCACUGUAGAGGCAGGCGGAAUUUCGGGUGUAGCGGUGGAAUGCGUAGAGAUCCGGAAGAACACCGGUGGCGAAGGCGGCGUGCUGGGCAGUUGCUGACACUGAGGCGCGACAGCGUGGGGAGCAAACGGG